AUGUGUUAUAUCUAUGAUAGGUGUGGAAAGAACUGUCAUGUUUACAGUUUUUGUCUUUCCAGUAGACAUGUAAUUGCUCUCACCAACUAUAAAGAUCUCAUUCUCCUGAAAUGUUUGGAAAUUUUCUUUACUAGGAUUCUUCCCAGGAAGGAAUCAUUUCACAAAAUGGAUUCACUUACCAACUUUAGGACUAGGCCCUCUGGUGUUUAG
rnacentral:lncRNA from 1 species